rnacentral:rRNA from 1 species
CAGUAGCCACGGUAAUACGUAGGGUGCAAGCGUUAAUCGGAAUUACUGGGCGUAAAGCGUGCGCAGGCGGUUUGUUAAGACAGAUGUGAAAUCCCCGGGCUUAACCUGGGAACUGCAUUUGUGACUGGCAAGCUAGAGUCUGGCAGAGGGGGGUGGAAUUCCGCGUGUAGCAGUGAAAUGCGUAGAUAUGCGGAGGAACACCGAUGGCGAAGGCAGCCCCCUGGGCCAACACUGACGCUCAUGCACGAAAGCGUGGGGAGCAAACAGGAUUAGAUACCCCUGUAGUCCCUGUCUCUUAUAC